CCGGCUAUAUUACGUUGGAACACUGGUUCUCGUACGAUCACCUAAGUUAAACAACGUCGAGCGUGAACAGUACUUAGAUGGGUGACUAUUUGGGAAUACCAUGUGCUGUAAG